GACGAACGCUGGCGGCGUGCUUAACACAUGCAAGUCGAACGGAAAGGCCCUGCUUUUGUGGGGUGCUCGAGUGGCGAACGGGUGAGUAACACGUGAGUAACCUGCCCUUGACUUUGGGAUAACUUCAGGAAACUGGGGCUAAUACCGGAUAGGAGCUCCUGCUGCAUGGUGGGGGUUGGAAAGUUUCGGCGGUUGGGGAUGGGCUCGCGGCUUAUCAGCUUGUUGGUGGGGUAGUGGCUUACCAAGGCUUUGACGGGUAGCCGGCCUGAGAGGGUGACCGGCCACAUUGGGACUGAGAUACGGCCCAGACUCCUACGGGAGGCAGCAGUGGGGAAUAUUGCACAAUGGGCGGAAGCCUGAUGCAGCAACGCCGCGUGCGGGAUGACGGCCUUCGGGUUGUAAACCGCUUUCGCCUGUGACGAAGCGUGAGUGACGGUAAUGGGUAAAGAAGCACCAGCUAACUACGUG
rnacentral:rRNA from 1 species